rnacentral:rRNA from 1 species
GAUGAACGCUGGCGGCGUGCCUAAUACAUGCAAGUCGAGCGAACAGACGAGGAGCUUGCUCCUCUGACGUUAGCGGCGGACGGGUGAGUAACACGUGGAUAACCUACCUAUAAGACUGGGAUAACUUCGGGAAACCGGAGCUAAUACCGGAUAAUAUAUUGAACCGCAUGGUUCAAUAGUGAAAGACGGUUUUGCUGUCACUUAUAGAUGGAUCCGCGCCGCAUUAGCUAGUUGGUAAGGUAACGGCUUACCAAGGCAACGAUGCGUAGCCGAUCUGAGAGGGUGAUCAGCCACACUGGAACUGAGACACGGUCCAGACUCCUACGGGAGGCAGCAGUAGGGAAUCUUCCGCAAUGGGCGAAAGCCUGACGGAGCAACGCCGCGUGAGUGAUGAAGGUCUUCGGAUCGUAAAACUCUGUUAUUAGGGAAGAACAAAUGUGUAAGUAACUAUGCACGUCUUGACGGUACCUAAUCAGAAAGCCACGGCUAACUACGUG